CGUGUAGGUGGCUUGACACGUCUGUCGCUGAAAUCCCCCGGCUUAACCGGGGAACGGGCGCGGAUACGAUCAGGCUUGAGGGAUGUAGGGGGAUCGGGAACUUCCGGUGGAGCGGUGAAAUGCGUUGAGAUCGGAAGGAACGCCCGUGGCGAAAGCGCGGUCCUGGACAUUUCCUGACACUGAGACGCGAAAGCUAGGGGAGCAAACG
rnacentral:rRNA from 1 species